UGCCAUAUGAUGAGAAACCUUAUCCAACUCACGACGGUCAUCUGAGACACUCAGUGUGUAAUGGUGCAUUCAUAUUUCACUGAUGGCA
rfam:Triticum aestivum genome assembly, contig: Triticum_aestivum_CS42_TGACv1_scaffold_329212_4BS